GCGUAAAGCGCACGCAGGCGGUCUGUCAAGUCGGAUGUGAAAUCCCCGGGCUCAACCUGGGAACUGCAUUCGAAACUGGCAGGCUUGAGUCUUGUAGAGGGGGGUAGAAUUCCAGGUGUAGCGGUGAAAUGCGUAGAGAUCUGGAGGAAUACCGGUGGCGAAGGCGGCCCCCUGGACAAAGACUGACGCUCAGGUGCGAAAGCGUGGGGAGCAAACAGGAUUAGAUACCCUGGUAGUCCACGCCGUAAACGAUGUCUACUUGGAGGUUGUGCCCUUGAGGCGUGGCUUCCGGAGCUAACGCGUUAAGUAGACCGCCUGGGGAGUACGGCCGCAAGGUUAAAACUCAAAUGAAUUGACGGGGGCCCGCACAAGCGGUGGAGCAUGUGGUUUAAUUCGAUGCAACGCGAAGAACCUUACCUGGUCUUGACAUCCACGGAAGUUUUCAGAGAUGAGAAUGUGCCUUCGGGAACCGUGAGACAGGUGCUGCAUGGCUGUCGUCAGCUCGUGUUGUGAAAUGUUGGGUUAAGUCCCGCAACGAGCGCAACCCUUAUCCUUUGUUGCCAGCGAUUAGG
rnacentral:rRNA from 1 species